CUCCCAAAGUGCUGAGAUUACAGGCGUGAGCCACCGCGCCCAGCCCUCAGCCUAAUAAUUUAAAAGAUCUCGUUUCAGACCAAACUGAGGGUUGGGCUGCGAUUUCUCAUGGCCCAAUAGCAAGACACAGAUGAACUGGGGAGGAAGAGAGUUUUUAUUUCUGCACCUGGUUAUAGGGAGAAGGCCUGGAAAUUAUCACCAGACCAACUCAAAAUUACAAAGUCUUCCAGAGCUUAUAUACCUUCUAAGCUAUCUGUCUACGUGUAAGUGUGCACUCUUCUAAAGACAUGUGAUUGAGUGAUGUGACAUGCAGCCUGCGGUCUGUACGUGUGCGCAGUCGCUCCUUCCUCGACCCCUAGCUUUGUGGUAGCAGCAGAUGGGACCACAGUUCAGUCACCAACAUGCAGCGCUUUGUCUGCGCCCAGGAGCUACACACCCUUGAAGUGACCGGCCAGGAGACGGUCGCCCAGAUCAAGGCUCAUGUAGCCUCCCUGGAGGGCAUUGCCCCAGGAGAUCAAGUUGUGCUCCUGGCAGGCACGCCCCUGGAGGAUGAGGCCACCAUGGGCCAGUGUGGGGUGGAGGCCCUGAUUAGCCAAGUAGCAAGCUGUAUGCUUGGAGGUAAAGUCCAUGGUUCCCUGACCCAUGCUGGGAAAGUGAAAGGUCAGACUCUUAAGGUGGCCAAACAGGAGGAGGAGGAGGAAGAGGGGGAGGAGGAGGGGAAGGGGGGAGGAGGGAGGAGGAAGAAAGAAGAUGACAAGCCAGGCUAAGCGGCAGAUGCAGUACAACCGGCACUUUGUCAACAUUGUGCCCACCUUUGGUAAGAAGAAGGGUCCCAAUGCCAACUUUUUUUUCUUUUUGAGACGGGGUCUCACUCUGUCACCCAGGCUGGAGUGCAGUG